rnacentral:rRNA from 1 species
CCUACGGGAGGCAGCAGUGAGGAAUAUUGGUCAAUGGCCGUAAGGCUGAACCAGCCAAGUCGCGUGAGGGAAGACUGCCCUAUGGGUUGUAAACCUCUUUUAUGCGGGGAUAAAGGUGUCCACGUGUGGCUGUUUGCAGGUACCGCAUGAAUAAGGACCGGCUAAUCCCGUGCCAGCAGCCGCGGUAAUACGGAAGGUCCGGGCGUUACACGGAUUUAUUGGGGUUAAAGGGAGCGUAGGCCGGUCUUUAAGCGUGCCGUGAAAUUUUGUGGCUCAACCAUGAGAGUGCGGCGCGAACUGGAGACCUUGAGUGCGCGGAAGGCAGGCGGAAUUCGUGGUGUAGCGGUGAAAUGCUUAGAUAUCACGAAGAACCCCGAUUGCGAAGGCAGCCUGCCGCAGCGUUACUGACGCUGAAGCUCGAAAGCGCGGGUAUCGAACAGGAUUAGAUACCCUGGUAGUC